ACUACGGGAGGCAGCAGUGGGGAAUAUUGCACAAUGGGCGAAAGCCUGAUGCAGCAACGCCGCGUGAAGGAAGAAGGGUUUCGGCUCGUAAACUUCUAUCAACAGGGACGAAAGAAAUAACGGUACCGGAAUAAGAAGCCCGGGCUACCUCCGUGCCAGCAGCAGCGGUAAUACGGAGGGGGCAAGCGUUAUCCGGAAUUACGGGGUGUAAAGGGUGAGUAGGCGGCAUGGUAAGUCAGAUGUGAAAGACUUGGGCUUAACCCGAGGAUUGCAUUUGGAACUAUCAAUCUAGAGUACAGGAGAGGAAAGCGGAAUUUCUAGUGUAGCGGUGAAAUGCGUAGAUAUUAGGAAGAACACCAGUGGCGAAGGCGGCUUUCUGGACUGAAACUGACGCUGAGGCACGAAAGCGUGGGGAGCGAACAGGAUUAGAUACCCGAGUAGUC
rnacentral:rRNA from 1 species